UGCGUUUAAUUUGGUCUGGGAAAAGUAUUAAAGUACAUAUUAAUUAGAUGUCAAAAUCUAGACAUGAAUAAUGUAUCACACUGUUUUCAAAUUACCGAACAACACACAUUGUCGUCAGGCAUUUCUCAAAACUUGGGGAUACUCAGCAAAACGUGUCAUUGAAUGCAGUUUAUAACCAGGCACUGGUACUUCAUUCUGUACAGAUGCAUCAUUAGUAUUACUCUUCAAAAACAUGCUCUAUCGACUUUUCCUUUGACAGCACAGUGUUAUUUCAGGUGUACAUGUUAGUAUGAACAUUUUAAGAUACUAGGAAAAGUCAGACUGUUUUCUGACAGGCAACAAAAAUAGAAUAAAGGUGUGUAAGCUGCACUGUACACGGAUGACUGCCUGCCCUGGUACUUCCUGAUGAAGUAGUAAAUUCCAUGAAAAUAUAGAAACAGCAAGGAACAUUUCUGGAACCAAAAGUCAUGUGAUCAUUAUAUGUGCCUCAGCUGCUGCCUUUGGUCUGGUUAUACUUAUCUUAUUUUUGUUUCUCAAAGACAAUGCAUGCUGUGAAAGGUCUUCAUUCCACUGUGUGAUAUGUCACAGUAAUAAUCCGCAGCUCAAAGAUCACAGUAAUGAUUCAAAAUCCUUAAAAGACAAUAAGAAUGACCACCCUGUCCUCACAUAUGCUGCUCUGGACUUUAAAGAAAGCAGAAACACCAGCAGACAGGCUGAAGACCAAGUGGAAUACAAUGGGCUUGCCUGUGCAAGUCCUUGAAGAAAAGAAUGUUGAGAAGAAAAGAUAAGUUUAAAGUGGAGGCCUUAUUUGAUGAAAUCAUCUAUCUAAUUUCUGAACAAGCAAAGCAUUAAUUAUCUCAUUGAAUUAUUCAUUCAUGGAUUUAUUUCCUCACCUAUCUUGGAUGAGGUGUAUGUUUGAAUGUAGUACUAAAGAAAUGAAUGAUAUUGCACUUUUAACAGUGAUGUUCUUUCCUCCUAUAUAUUAUUUACUAGUGUUGAUAAACACGUGAAAAAAUGUAAGCUGGUUAGCCUUAAAUUAUUUCAGACUAAGAAAUUUAAAAAUGAUCAACUGCUUGCAUUGCUUAACUCUGUUAAAGUAUGGAAAUUACCAUUUGCGUUUAUUUUAUUUUAUCUGCAGUAUUUUGUCCUCUCAGCUGUUAUCAUUUUUGCAUUAUUUGAAUGGCUGUUAUUGCAAGGGUACAGUGACAGAAUUUUAGCAGAUAGGAAUUAAUACAUUUGCAUGUGCUGCACCAAAAAAGUUGCUGCUAGUUUUGCUUUUAUUAAUUUUACUGAAGAGAAAAAAAAUUAAAGUCUGUGUCAGGUACUUUUUAACAUUCUGCCAGUCUUCAAGAACUGUGAAAUAACUGGAUGUUUGGUGUUUGAUUAAGGCAGUGAGCUAAAUAUUUAUAUAUGUCUCAGCCCAGUGGAGCAAAAGCAUCACAGCCAUCUGUACU